ensembl:lncRNA
CAUCAUCGGAGGGUGCUUCAGUGCUCUGAUGAAACAACACGACGCACUUAUUUAUGAAGAAUUACAAUAAAUCUGUUUCUAAUGAUCACCUAAAUGAUCGUUCAUAAUAAAAGAUGCGUGUUUCAUUGUCUGUCACAUGAUGCUGAGAGCAGCGAUGGAAUCAGUCACGAGCCUCGACACACAGAGGAUACACACUCACGUCUCUGAUAAUGUGUCGCAGAGACUCGUCCUCGCUCAUCCCCCGGGACAGCGUCCGUUUCCUCAGCGAGCCCGCUGUCUCAAGGUUCUCCGAAUGCAUCUUCUCAUAUGUAAGGAAUCGUGAAAUGCUCCAGAGAAAAUGCCAGAGCAGCCCUUGUCUUGGAAGUGUUAAGUGUUUCUCUACCGGAGCGCACAGUGUCCUUUAGGGCGGGUUCUGCUGCGCGGUGGGCGGGGCGUGGAGACGCUCAAGUGGGCGGGGCUAUUUCGCCAUCCUCUUUCACUCUGUGUCUGGAACUUAUGGACAUGACCAAAGACUGGGUUUCCUCCUUUGUGAUGCUUUGCCAGGCCUUUACUGCAGCUGACUUCAGUUCCCAGAGAGCAGAGCAGCAUAGUGUCUAUAUGAGCAAGAUAAGUGAGAGCUGCAUAUAUACCGUUUAUCUUUGCACAUUUCCUCUUUUCUUUUUUUAUCUAAAUUGAACUCCUGAUUGCUUACCCUCCCACUAUCACUAAUUAAGUCACCUUAGUGAAACUGACUUAAGUGAAAACGAAAACUAUUAUUGCGCAUUAAAUUUAGAUCUGCUCAAGCUGCAGAUUUCUUCAUAAGCUUUUUUUAUUUAUAUAAACAGCGGUGCACAUUAUAACUGAUCACAAAUGAUUCUGUUGAGCUUAUGAUUGCAGUGACCAAUCAGAGGUGUUCAGAUGAGUCAUCGCUAAAACACCAGAGUUUUGUUGAAUGCCGUGCUCACUGACUGAAUUCUGCUCUUUUGCGAAUUCUCUCAUCAAUUCUCUCAACAACAAAGUGCAAAUGUAUGUACGGUGUAAGUAAGUGAUUCAUUUCACAUUGUAGACACAUUGUAGUACACUGAAGUCAGUGAUAAUAUUCUAUAUAAUGUAAAUGUUCUUUGUUUGAUAUCUGUAUAUUAUUUAUUUGCUGUCUGAGUAACAGUGGAAAUUGAAGCGUAACUUAAAUUUUUUUAUUAUUAAAUUGUGAUCAGGUUAAAUGCAAAUUCAGUAGAAUUAAAUUAUUUUAUGACAUGACACUCGUAUCUGCUAGUUGCCUCAAUAGAAUUGUUUGUGAUGUGUGUAGUUAUUAGGCUAAACAUAAGGCUUCUUUUAGAACAGACUGUCUGUUCCCCAAAUGAUAAAGCUUGGCUUAUUGAAUAUCAGAUCUCUUUCUAUGAAAACAUUAUCUUAAAUGAGUCUACCCCUCAAGAUUACUUUUAUAAACAUGAGCCACGUCCAAAAGGUAAAGGGGGAGGUGUUGCUUCAAUUUAUAACAAUGUUUUCAGGAUUUCUCAGAGGGGGGAUUCAAGUAUAGCUCGUAAUGGUGCUUCAUAUAACAUUAUCCAGAGAAACAAAUGUUAAUGAUAAAUCCCCUGUGAUGUUUGUACUGUCUACUGUAUACAGGCCACCAGGGCACCAUACAGACUUUAUUAAAGAAUGUGCUGAUUUUAUUUCCGAGUUAGUGCUGGCUGCAGAUAAAGUUUUAAUUGUUGGUGAUUUUAAUAUCUAUGUUGAUAAUGAAAAAGAUGCAUUGGGAUCAGCAUUCAUAGACAUUCUGAACUCUAUUGGGGUUAAACAACACGUCUAAGGACCUAUUCAUUGUCGAAACCAUACUCUAGAUUUAAUACUGUCACAUGGAAUU